ACGUUUUGUAAACUGGUGGCUACUUUGAUCUUGUCUUGGAAUGUACUUCAGUCUUGCCUUAACCCUUGGUCCAGAUGGCAAAUCCAGACAGCCCCUGUGAGUGAGCUCAGCCACGUUCUCAGAGAUGGUGUUUUGCCAUGUUAUUCAGGCUGGUCUGAAACAUUUGAACUCAAGUGAUCCAGCUGCCUCAGCCUCCCAAAGUGCUGGGUUCAUCGGUGUGAGCCAUCAUGCCCAGGCUACAAUUAAUUUUUGUAUUAAAUAAGCUUGCUUAAUCCCAACAAA